UACGGUGGAUGCAAGCGUUAUCCGGAAUGAUUGGGCGUAAAGCGUCUGUAGGUGGCUUAAAAAGUCUUCUGUCAAAGAUCAGGCUUAACCCUGGACCGGCAGGAGAAACUCUUAGGCUAGAGUUUGGUAGAGGCAGAGGGAAUUCCCGGUGGAGCGGUGAAAUGCGUAGAGAUCGGGAGGAACACCAAAGGCGAAAGCACUCUGCUGGGCCACAAUUGACACUGAGAGACGAAAGCGAGGGGAGCAAAAGGG
rnacentral:rRNA from 1 species